AACGAACGCUGGCGGCAGGAUUAACACAUGCAAGUCGAGCGCCCCGCAAGGGGAGCGGCAGACGGGUGAGUAACGCGUGGGAAUCUACCCAUCUCUACGGAAUAACGCAUGGAAACGUGUGCUAAUACCGUAUACGUCCUUCGGGAGAAAGAUUUAUCGGAGAUGGAUGAGCCCGCGUUGGAUUAGCUAGUUGGUGGGGUAAAGGCCUACCAAGGCGACGAUCCAUAGCGGGUCUGAGAGGAUGAUCAGCCACACUGGGACUGAGACACGGCCCAGACUCCUACGGGAGGCAGCAGUGGGGAAUAUUGGACAAUGGGCGCAAGCCUGAUCCAGCCAUGCCGCGUGAGUGAUGAAGGCCCUAGGGUUGUAAAGCUCUUUCACCGGUGAAGAUAAUGACGGUAACCGGAGAAGAAGCCCCGGCUAACUUCGUGCCAGCCGCCGCAGUAACAC
rnacentral:rRNA from 1 species